rnacentral:rRNA from 1 species
CCUACGGGCGGCUGCAGUGGGGAAUAUUGGACAAUGGGGGGAACCCUGAUCCAGCCAUGCCGCGUGUGUGAAGAAGGCCCUCGGGUUGUAAAGCACUUUCAGUGAGGAAGAACGCCUGGUGGUUAAUACCCAUCAGGAAAGACAUCACUCACAGAAGAAGCACCGGCUAACUCCGUGCCAGCAGCCGCGGUAAUACGGAGGGUGCGAGCGUUAAUCGGAAUUACUGGGCGUAAAGCGCGCGUAGGUGGCUUGAUAAGCCGGUUGUGAAAGCCCCGGGCUCAACCUGGGAACGGCAUCCGGAACUGUCAAGCUAGAGUGCAGGAGAGGAAGGUAGAAUUCCCGGUGUAGCGGUGAAAUGCGUAGAGAUCGGGAGGAAUACUAGUGGCGAAGGCGGCCUUCUGGACUGACACUGACACUGAGGUGCGAAAGCGUGGGUAGCAAACAGGAUUAGAUACCCUAGUAGUC